rnacentral:tRNA from 1 species
GGGGUUGUAGCUCAGUGGUAGAGCGCUUGCCUAGCAUGCAUGAGGCACUGGGUUCGAUCCCCAACACCACA